UUUUUAACUCGUGACUUUCUUUAAAGAGGUGCCGCUAAGCAGGGACCUCCGCGAGACAAGAGUGGAGUUGAAAGUGUCUCUUUCUGCCAUCCGUGUAAUCAGAUCUCGGAGCAGAGGCUGAUAGAGACGAGCUGUGUUCUGGAACACCCAAGAUGGUUUUCUUCAUUAGAACAGGUUAUGGGGCAUUCCCCGUGUCCUGAGCGCUGGGACAGACAGUGGCGAUACAACGUGAAUGACGUGGUCCUUUGCCACGGACCAACGCACACAGAGGCAGAUCACUUCGAAGUAUGUGUUGAAUUGUCAGUGGCAUUUUUCACCCUGGUGAUGCACUGGUUCAUACGCGAACUCUCUUGCCGAACACCUGUUGGGUGUCUACCUGCGGAUCUGCUCUGGUGGAGGCCCAAUGCCGGCAGACGAGUACGAAAUGACCGUCUCCUGCGAGGUGUGAUUCUAAUCAGCAGGUGGAACGCUGACUGCCGUCGAGGUAGCUGAGGCCGAGCCUGAAGUACUUCAGGAAAAAAAAGAUAGAAAAAGCAAAGGAAAAAAAUACCUUGGACGCCUGGAGAUAGAGCCACAGUCCCCUAAGAUGAAUGGACACACAGACUGGAGCUGUGGGAGGACCUUUAUUAAACUUCUACUGAACAGAGCAGUCUUUGCUUUUCAUUCUGGGUUCUCCUAAAACCUUUUCCGGAGAAGCAGAUACGCAGAGAGGAAGA